GGUAGUUUUUGUUUGAAUUCUGAAAUUCUGAUAACCUGGAAACUUUUAAAAUUAAGCCUAUGUGUUGGCUCUGCGUUUGGUUCUGCAAGUGAGUCUUGAAUUGAUCCACCGUCCACGGGCUUUAAGUUUAUAAUGGAAAUGCCACUCUCCACAAAUCAAGCCAUGCAGAAGAGACACGAGUGGUGUGGACGGGUACUAAUUACUGCUCUGUUUCAAGAAGGCACAAUGAAGCACCGUUGUGAUGAAGGUAUGGGCCUGUGGCCCCUUGUGUAGACAGUAGCUGGUGCCUCUUGUCAACCCCAGGUGGCUCCACAGUGCUGUUCCUGUUGUCCUUCUCCAUGCUGUUCUGCUUCUGCUCGGUGGGUGCUGCUCCGAAGGCCGGUGAGCAGUGGGAAAGCCUGCAGGGCCUGAGAGGUGGCUUAUUGGUUAAUAGCACACGGUGCUCUUCCACAGGAUCCAACUUUGAUUCCCAGGACCCAUGCGGCUCACAGUUCUCUGUUACUCCAGACCUACAGGGAUCUGAGUUCUCCGAGGGCACCUGUAUUCACAUGUGUGCAUGAGCACACACAGAGAUAUUUAAAGGGGUGUGUGAAGAAAUGGGUCAGGUUUGGUUUCCAGCACCCUCACAGUGGCUUACAACUGUCCAGUUCUACUGAAUCCAGUGUCCUCUUUUGGUCUCUAGGGGCACCAGGCAUGCACAGGCAAAAUACUCACACACAGAAACAAAUCCAAAAAACCCAAACAGAACAAAACAAAGCAAAGCAAAACCACUGGUAGUAAAACACACACACACACACACACACAUACAAAGAACAAUAAAAAACACAAAACAAAACAAAAUCCCAGGCAAAUAAAUCAUAAUACUUGCUUU